GGGACCUUAAGUUAAGAAAGACUGUUGGCCUUCAAAGUCGGAAGAGUAGUGAAAAACUACAGGUUUCG
rnacentral:tRNA from 1 species